rnacentral:rRNA from 1 species
CAACCGGCGAACGGGUGCGUAACACGUGAGCAACCUACCUAGGUGUGGGGGAUAGCCGGCCCAACGGCCGGGUAAUACCGCAUACGUUCUUUGGGGGAGUCCCUGAAGAGGAAACCUCCGGGGGAGCGCGAGGGGCUCGCGGCCUAUCAGCUAGUUGGCGGGGUAAUGGCCCACCAAGGCGACGACGGGUAGCUGGUCUGAGAGGAUGGCCAGCCACAUUGGGACUGAGAGACGGCCCAG